CUUGAAUCUGGGAGACAGAGGUUGCGGUGAGCCGAGAUCAUGCCACUGCACCCCAGCCUGGUAAAACAGGCUAUUUGUGCCUACAAGAAAUCCAGCUUACAUAUGAAGACGCAUUCUUUUUUUCUGUUAACAGAUGGUAACAACUACUGUGAUGUAUGAAUUACCGAGGUUUAUUGUGGGACGAACACAGGAACUCUAUUUGAGCCACCGUGUGAAUGGAGAUGUGGUGAAUGGUUCCGGGUAGAUGGUGUAAGUCACAGAAUGUUCUAGUAGCUGGGGAAACACACCAUGGCCGCUGAAUAUUAUGCAUUUACUUUCUCUGUUGUGCAAUUGUGAAGUUCCUAUUGUUGGCCGACUUUUAAAUAGAAUAUUUCUAAAAAAAUAAAGAGACAAGUUAUUCUAAUUUUUAUAGUCUUUUCCAAGUGUCAAGGCUUUUUAAAAAUAUAGUUGAAGUCACGGUAAUUUUUCAAGGAAAUGUUUUUGUAGAUCUCCCAAAUGGACAGUGUGUUAUAAUAGAAAUGUUUAAACUAUGUAUUUAGAACAGAUUUUUUUAGUCAACAGAUUUUCUUUCAGGGAUAAGCUUUUUUCUGUGCUUCUUUCCCUCAACACCUUCUUUGUCCUUAUUUCUUAAUGGUUAGUAUGUUUUCACCGCUUCGUUUGCUUUUGCUGUCAUAAAGCCUCAUAACCAUUUCUGCAGUGGUUCUUUUAGUUGCUGUAUGGUUAGAAUGCAGUUGUAUUUUUAUUUGAACAUGUUCAUACCUUAGGCUGAGAUUUUCUCGGUUUCUAGUACAUUAUCCUUUGCAUUUAUUGUUGUGAUUAUUGUCUUUGAAGUGACAGCAGAACUUUCAACACCUGUUCUCUUACAUGGCGUGUCUGAAUUCCAGGAAGACUGCAGGAGUAGCCUGAGGCGCGCACGUGGCUGAGUGUGGUGAAUGCAUACCGGCCGCCCGGCUCCCAGCUCCGGGUCAUGAAGGGCCACUGGGCGUUUCCCUGUGUCGUGCCUGUGUCUGCCGUGUUAGUAGGAGCUCCUGCUUGUCCCUGUUAACACCCUCCAGUUAGGAUUGUCAAGUACAAUGUCACAGAAGGAUGGCUUAGGGGAGUUCAAUCUCUUCCUGAACGGUGCCAUGCGGAAAUAUAUGUAAACUCAUGAGCAAGGUGGACAGUAUGAGUUCAAUCUUCAUCCAAAUGCACCCCAGGAAAGUCAAACACUUCACUAUUAUGCUAAUUUAUCCACCGUGGAAAUAUCACAUUUUUGAUCAUGAUGAUUCUUCAUCUCUGAGGGCAAUAGACACCACCUAUGUUUUGAGAAGGUCCUGGCAGAAGCAAUGAUACGUGGAGUAAACAGAACGCCGAGCUGCCUGGGUAGAAUUCAGGUCCCUCCAAUUUACUGAGGAACAGAAGGAGACUGCAGCUGCCAGUCUCUUUGCAAAAGCCCAUUCUAGUGCCAAGCUCAUGGGAUGCCAGGCACACGUGGAUUCCAGACAAGCAACCCAUGUGUUGCACUCAGAGUCAAGGGCAUGGUUGUGGUGAAGUCAGACACUUGAGUCUCCAGAUAUGCUGUGAGGACAGGAAGUUGCUCUCCCAGGAAACGAGCUACUAGGAAGACAGUGGGGGAGGAAUCGGUGCAGCAGUGGACAUCCACCUUAGCCUCCCUCUGCCACCCCCCUCCCCUGUACCCUCAAGGGUCCUAUUCAGAUUCUGCUGGGCGGGGCCGGAUGUCUGUAUUCUUUGCAGGUUCCUCUCAGGAUUCAGAUGGAGAGCAAAGCUCGGGAACCUUCCAAGGGGCAUGGCUUGAGACUUGAGAAGGGGUGCACACUCCCCGGUUCCAGCCCACAGGCCCCUGGCCUCUCACAGCUCCUGACCCUGUGGUCCGCGGUGUGACCAGCCUGUCCUUUCACCCCCGGGCUCUGUCCUUCUGCAUUUGCUGUGUGUGGGUGAGCUGCGGGGUACAGCUCACACGGGCUCCUGUCCUGCCAGCUUCACUGGGGUCCAGUCCCCGGGGAAUCCCAGAAGGAGACCAAAGGCAGGAGCAGCCUAGGGCCGGGCACUGAGCCACCCGGCUCCUUCCUGUGAAGCUGCCUCAGCUGGCUCUGUCUCGGGCAGCAGGGGUGACUCACAGCUCUGUUCCUCAGGGCUCCUCUAGCCCAGCCCUCCUGUGGUGGCCCCAGGUUUGGAGCUGGUCAUGGCUGGACGGGGGACAGCUCCAGAUCCCUGCCGGCAUGCGUUUCCUGCUGCUGCACUAAGGUCUCACCCCCAACCUGGCAGCCUCAGGCAGCCAGGAGGAUUUGUUAACCUCCUGUGCUGGAAGACAAAGCCAAAAAUUAGUCUUGCUGGGCUAAAGUCAAGGUCUGGGCAGGGUGGGCUCCUGCUGGGGGCUCCUCUUGCCGCCUCUGACUUCCCAGGCUGCCCAAGGCCCUGAGCUGCUCCCCUCUCCACUCCCGGCCUCCACUCAGCAUCUGCUCUCCCAGCCCUGCUGCUGCUGCCAUCACACCCCCUUCUCUGACCCUCCCUCCUGCGUGGACAGACCCUGCGAUGAUGGUGCACCCGCCUGGCUCAUCGUGGCCUCUCCCCACCUGAAGAGCCUGUGUCAAGUCCCAUCGGCGAGGGUGCUGGUGCCAUAUGAAGGUGACAUGCACAGGACCAGGCUUUCAGAUGUGGGCCCCUUGAGGGGACAUUACUCUGUCUACCAACACUGCCGCACGCAUUGCAAUUCCAGACACCCAUACUUUUGGAAACAGUCCCUUGUGUAUGAACCUUCCUCAAAGUCACCCAAUUCCAGCACUGUCUGUUUCCCUGACAGGGUGUGCUGUCCUUGGCUCUUAUUUCAAAGCAGUUCAAGAAGGGAAAUCCAUGUAGCAUGAUCGUCCAUGCAGCCGCAGGCUCCCCCAGCUAAGCCUGAGCUUCCUCAGGGGCUGUGUCCUCGCCCUGGCUCCUUGCCCUGCCGGCGAUCUGACUGCUCCGGCAUCCCCUGCCCACCCCUCCCUCCAUGUGCACACCCUCUUCCCUCUCCCCAGCCUCCACUCACUCAUUCAACAGAAUUGGGCAGAGCGCCUCCCUCACAGGAACAGGAGGAUAGGAAGUGAGACAGACAGGACUUCUGCGCCCAGGUGGCGGACAGCCAUGGAGAGAAUGGAGGGGGACAGAAGGGGACACACAUGAGAUCCCCUGUGGCCUCUGUGGUGCAUCGUUACACUCUGAGAAGUGAGGCAGGAGGCCCACAGGGAAGGGCCACAUUCAGAUGGGAGCACAGGGGCAGCAGGCUGACCCGGCCUCGAGGUGGGGAGGCUGCCCUCGAAGUGAAGCUGGAGCAGAGGCCGGGCACCAAGUGGUCAUUCGUGAGGCCCUUGGAGGACAGAGCUGGGCCCCGAGGGGCCCUGCUUAGUGGUGGGUCUCAGAAUGAGCAGAGCAGGGGCUAGGAAAAACCUGGAGGGGACAGAGCCCGGCAAGGAGGCAGGACCGGAGUAUCCACUGUUUGAAGAGAUCGCACAGGCUGCAGCAGGAAGACUGGACGGAAGGAAGUUCUGGGACAUUUCAGAUAAAACAUCUACUCGGCUCUUGGCAGCCCACAUUUGGGAAAUGAGAGAACAAGGAUGUGUCUGAGUCCCACAUGAGAACGAGCCGGAUGACUGGUCAUGCCAGCCUCGGAAACUGACAUCUGGGAAGACCCCAUGAAGCUUGGGAAUGACAUUGUCUUACAACAUGGGGCAUUUCAAGAUGACUUUGAGAGUCUCAGUGGAGAUGGGGAGAGGCAGGUGGAUUUACGGGUCUGGAAGCUCACAGAACUUUGAGCUGGUGAUCCAAUUUGGAAGGCUUGGGCUCAAAAGGAUCAACUGUUAGGAAGUGCUGUUGCUCCAAAGCCCUCCUGCCCUGGCCCACACAGCCUUACCAGGAGGCAGAGCCAGCUGGCUGCAACUCCGACCCCCGCAGCCCAGGACCCUGGUGCCUGCUGUCCACCUUAGUGAGAAGUGAAUGAUUCUUUACAGAGUUGUUGCAUGGGACAGCGUUGCCUCCCCACCAGCCUGGACUAGGGCAGCCCAGUGUCCUCUCAGGGUGAGGAACUCUUCCCCACACCUUUAUAGGACUGCAGGAACCAGCACCAGCACAGUGAUGCCCAUGGUAUGCUCGUCUUCUGCACCCCUCUCAAGGGCAAGUCUAAUGAAGGCAAGUUCACAGACCACAACCAUGAAGCGUACAGAGUGGCCACCACUGCUAACUCCCUUACCCACCUGGAAGGCAGGCGUCCUGGCCCAGGCUCAAUUGCAUUCUCUAAUGAAUACAGACAGGAUUCUGGGUGGUUUUUUAUUUUUGUUUUUUUCAGAGACAGGGUCUCACUGUGUCACCCAGGCUGGCAUGCAGUGAUGUGAUCACGGCUCACUGCGGCCUUGACCUCCCAGCCUCAAGCAAUCCUCCUGCCUCAGCCUCCCAAAAAGCUGAGAUUAGAGGCAUGGGUCACCACGCCUAGCUUUACCAGCCCUUUAGUAAUAAGCACUUUUCAGAGAAUUGAAGCUGUUCAGCCUGGAGAUGAAGCACAGGUAUCAUCCUGGACACCAGAAGUCUGGUUGGAUGCCGGGGUCAGCUAAGAGCAAAAUGAUACUGGAGAGCAAAGGCUGUGGCGUGGCUGCUUUGACCCUGCAGGAAGAGCUUGGGCUGGCCCCAGGUGAUGCUGCCCUUGCUGUCCUAGGAGGGGCCUGGCAGGGUCCUUUCUAUCCCAGAAAUGCUGUGAGCAGAGCUAAUAAGCACCCACAGGAAGCUUCAUCUGCCCAGAGGAGAGUCUGCCUCCAUCAGCACAGUGCAGUGCACGCCAGCCGCACUCAGCGACUGUUUUGGAAGUUGCAGGGCUAUCAAAAAAUUUUAUGUCCCGGCUUUCAGGAAGUCAAGCCUAACAAAUAACAUGCACCCAGGAGAACUCCCCGAGGGCUGAGGUCUCUGGGGCUGUGGUGAGCAGUCCACGCAGACUGUGAUAGAACCCAGAGGAAGAGGGAGCCCAGGACAGGGAGGGUCAAGGAUGAAUCCCGGCCCAGCUGGCACUUUGGGAGGCUGAGGCAGGCAGAUCACGAGGUCAGGAGUUCAUGGUGAAACCCCGUCUCUACUAAAAAGACAAAAAUUAGCUGGGUGUGGUGGCAUGCAUCUGUAAUCCCAGCUACUCGGGAGACUGAGGCAGGAGAAUCGCUUGAACCCAGGAAGCAGAUGGUGCAGUGAGCUGAGAUCCUGCCACUGCACUCCAGCCUGGCGACUAUGGUAGCAUUACCAUGGUCCACAGAAAACAAGUCGCAUGAGCGAUCAACAGAAGAGAACACAAAAUAAGACCGAGAGAAGCCAUGUUCCUAGGGCCAUGCUGUCCCUGCUCCCGGCUGAGGCUUGGAGGAGGCCUACCCUGCUGAUCACACGGCGAAGAGUCAGGGCUCCGAGGCCACCUGCACAUACCAGGAUGGCAUCCCUGACACUCCCGGUGGGAAGCAAUGUCGCCAUGCCCUGAAGACUCAUGUCUGAGACGGGCGGGCAGCACCGCUCUAUCAGCCAGCUGGCUGGUUUCACAUCUCAGGGAGGGCAUUGUGUCAUGGAUGUAAAUGACAUGGCACAGCAGCGUCUCUGGUGUCUGGUGGUGAUGAAGUCCUGGUGCUGUUAAUGGAGGAAAUGCUAAAUUGCAGUUAGACAUUAAUGAAAAUAAAGAUGCAAUGUUUUUUUCAUUGUGAUGCAUGGGACCCCAAAUUCUCCCUAGACCUCUAGACCCAGCAUAAGGCCCUGUGCCUGCUGGCCAGGCUAGGGUGUGGGGACCUCACCACGGCACGUUUCCUUGGUGAAGCCAUGCCAACAUUCCUCGUUUCUCACAUUUUGGAGCCCUCCCACGAGUGGGGGAAUGCAGCCCUCCAAGGAGCUGGUGGUCUUGGACCUGCCACCCCACAGCCAGAGGUCUCUGGCUGUAGGCCACUGGUGCCUUCCCUGCUGGUACAGGUGAAUUCUGGAAGGAGGGUACCAGGGGGGUGGGCGUGUGGGUGGUGGGUAACUUCAAGCCUUCCCCAGAGGGAAGGCCUACCUCAUGGAGCUCUGUAAGCAAAGGCCAGGAGGCACCCAGGACCCCAAGUCCAUGCCAGGUGGCAUCAGGGGGAAAUGGGAGAUCAGCCUCCCCGGGACUGCCACCUUCAGGGCCCUGCAGAGAACAGGGCUGCCCUGAGUGUGCCAGCAUCCUGGGAAUGUCCCCCACCCCCAUCACAUCCCAGUCACCUGGCUGGCCAAGCAUCACCAGAGAGGAAAGAGUUUGAAAAACCAAAGUCCUUUCUGCCCCAAAAUAUUUUUUAUUUUUGCAUUACAUUUGUGUUUCCAAUUGUGAAUAAAAAAUGCUUAGAAAGUG